UACGGAGGGUGCAAGCGUUAAUCGGAAUUACUGGGCGUAAAGCGUGCGCAGGCGGUUUGUUAAGUCCGUUGUGAAAGCCCCGGGCUCAACCUGGGAAUGGCGAUGGAUACUGGCGGGCUAGAGUGCGGUAGAGGAGAGUGGAAUUCCCGGUGUAGCAGUGAAAUGCGUAGAGAUCGGGAGGAACAUCAGUUGCGAAGGCGGCUCUCUGGACCAGCACUGACACUGAGGCACGAAAGCGUGGGGAGCAAACAGG
rnacentral:rRNA from 1 species